UUGUCUCAAAGAUUAAGCCAUGCAUGUCUCAGUACAAGCCGCAUUAAGGUGAAACCGCGAAAGGCUCAUUAAAUCAGUUAUGGUUCCUUAGAUCGUACCCACAUUUACUUGGAUAACUGUGGUAAUUCUAGAGCUAAUACAUGCAAACAGAGCUCCGACCGGAGACGGAAGGAGUGCUUUUAUUAGAUCAAAACCAAUCGGCGGCGGGCGCGUUCGCGCGUCCGUUCGCCGCUCAACCUGGUGACUCUGAAUAACUUUCUGCUGAUCGCACGGUCUCGCACCGGCGACGCAUCUUUCAAAUGUCUGCCUUAUCAACUGUCGAUGGUAGGUUCUGCGCCUACCAUGGUCGUAACGGGUAACGGGGAAUCAGGGUUCGAUUCCGGAGAGGGAGCCUGAGAAACGGCUACCACAUCCAAGGAAGGCAGCAGGCGCGCAAAUUACCCACUCCCGGCACGGGGAGGUAGUGACGAAAAAUAACGAUACGGGACUCAUCCGAGGCCCCGUAAUCGGAAUGAGUACACUUUAAAUCCUUUAACGAGGAUCAAUUGGAGGGCAAGUCUGGUGCCAGCAGCCGCGGUAAUUCCAGUUCCAAUAGCGUA
rnacentral:rRNA from 2 species